rnacentral:tRNA from 3 species
GCCGGGGUGGUGGAAUGGCAGACACGCUACCUUGAGGUGGUAGUGCCAGUAAUGGUGUGGAGGUUCGACUCCUCUCCUCGGCA